UUUUUUUUUUUUAAAUGUCUUUUUGUCACUUCUAGCUGGACCUACCAUGAAAGACUUCUGAAUCCAGGAAGAGAAACUGACUGGGCAACAUGUUAUUCAGCUGGAUCUACCAUGAAAGACUUGUGAAUCCAGGAAGAGAGACUGACUGGGCAACAUGUUAUUCAGAAUCUUCCUGUGCCAUCCAGGCUGGAGUGCAGUGAUGUGAUCAUAGCUCACUAUAGCUUUGGCCUUCUGAGAUCAAGCAAUCCUCCCAUCUCAACCUCCCAAGUAGCUAGGACUACACACGCAUGUCACCCAUGCCCAGAUCAUUUUUGUAGAGUCAGAGUUUCACCGUGGUGGCCAGGUUGGCCAUGUUGGCCAGAUGGGGUCUUCUUUUGUUGCCCAGGCUGGCCACAAAUUCCUGGGCUCAAGUGAUCCUCCCACCUCGUCCUUGUAGAGAUGAGAUUUAGUUAUGUCGUCCAGGCUGAUCUCAAACUCCUGGGCUAAAUCGAUUGUCUCACCUCAGCCUCUCAAGUAUGUUAUGAAGGUUAUAUGUUAGGAAGGGUCCCAGGAGGUAAACCCACACAGAUGGGAUUUGGGCAUAGGUUUGGUUUCCCAGGGGGCAGUGCUGAGCUCUUUGCCAGUGGGAAAUGGGAUGCUGGUGAUUUCCAGUAGGUGACCUCACAGUGACUCAAGCUACCACUUACUGUUGAUUGUGACGAAAUGCCAGCUGAGGCACAUGCCUUGGGAGCUAAGUGGUUGCUGCCCUUGACCACUGUGAAGACUGGUGUGGGAAGGGUCGUUUUGGAUGCACUUGAGCAGGGGUCCCCAACCCCUGAGCCAUGGAGCCGCAAGGAGCCACACAGCAGGAGGUGGGAACAUCCAGUUGCAGGAAAACAAGCUUAACACGCCCACUGAUUCUACAUUAUGGGUCUCCCUCUGUUGUCCAAGGCUGGAGUGUAGUAGUGCUAUCGCAGCUGACUGCAGCCUCAACCUUCCAGGCUGAAGCGAUCCUCCCACCUCAACCUCCCACGUGGCUGAGACUACAGGUGCUUGCCACUAUGCCCAACUAACAUUUGGAAUUUUCGUAUACGUGGAUUCUAGAGGGGUGACAGCGAAACGUGGGACCAUCCAGUUGCAGGAAAACAAGCUUGACACGCCCACUAAUUCUACAUUAUG
rnacentral:lncRNA from 1 species